CUUAAUGUUGCUAUAGAAGUUCCCAUUUAUUUGGCACGUUUUUUCAGAGUACAUUUUUAGUUCAAGAAUUACCUAACCAGCCCCUCAAGUUUGUCAGCUCUAAAAGUGUGUAUACUUUUAUUUUUCUCCACAUAAUGUCUUUGUCAGUUAUAAACCCGGAAGAAAACUGAGGGCUUAUCUAGCUCAAGUGAAGUGGAAUGAAUUGAUUUCAACUGAAACCAUCCAGGAAGUGGCAGAACCAAGUAUAAAACCUAGGUCUCUAGAUUCCAUUCAAAUGCUAUUUUCAUGACUCCGUGGCAUUCAUUAACUUACUGACUUAUUCACUCACUGAAUAAAUAUCUUUUCUUAAAUUUAAUUUUAUUGACAUGUAGUUGAUUUACAAUGAUAAAUAUCUUUUGAGUGCUACUGUGUGCCAGAGUUUGUGCCAGGCAUGGUAAUACACUAUUAAUGAGAAAAUAGUCCUUGCUCUCCAGGAAAUUGGAAGGGGGGCGGGGGAAAGACGAAUAGGUAAUUCUUUGAUAAAAGUAUGCACAGAAUACUUUGGGCAUAUGUAAAAAGGUAUUAUAAGCAAUUCUCAGGUGGGCAAGAAAAACUUCCAAGAGGAGGAGAUCUGAAUUCUAAAGAACAAAUAGAAACUAGUCAGGCAAAGGAAUGAGUCAGGAUAGGGAAUGGGCAUUCCAGGCUGAAUAAGCAGCAUGUGCAGGUGCACUGAAGUCCAAGUGCUUGGCUUAUUUCCAUGAACCGGAAAAUGGUGCUAUGUGAUUUGAGCUUGGCAUACAAGGAAGGGAAUGAUAAGAGGUAAGACUGAAGAUAUAAAGCAGAGUCCAGAUUACGUGGGCCAGGCUAAGGAAUAUAAAGUACACCCGGAAAGAAAUGGUAUGAGCAGUGGAGGAUGGCAGGGAACAACUGAUCAAAUUGAAUUCUGCAAUGAUUACUCUGACUUUUGUGAAUAAACCAGACUGAAGAGAAAUUAAACGUAGACAAGGGAAGACGAAUCAAAAGGUCGUUGCAUUAAUCCAAGGGUAUCAUUUUAUAGAUUGAUCUGGUUACUGUAACGGGACGCUCCAUAUCAGGGGUUCGCACAAGAUAGAAGUUUCUUCCUCACUUCAACAGGGCAUAAGCAAUCCAGACCUGGUAGAACAGUUCCAGGAUGUGGAUGAUCAGGGGUUGUCCUCAUCUACAUGUUCCAAGACGGUUCACAACUACAACAUAUGCCUUGCAGCCUGAGAAAAAGUAAAACGAGAAGAGGACACAUUUAUGUUUCCUUUUUUUUUCUCUCUUUUGUUCUAGAGCCACAUCUGUGGCAUAUGGAUUUUCCCAGACUAGGGGUGAAUCAGAGCUAUAACCUAUACCACAGCCACAGCAAUGCCACAUCUGAGCCAUGUUUGUGACCUACACCACAGCUCCUGGCAAUGCUGGAUCCUUAACCCUCUGAGUGAGGCCAGGGAUCAAACCCUCAUCCUCAUGGAUGUUAGUCGUUACCAUGAGGUUGGUUACCACUGAGCCAAAAUGGGAACUCCAGGAUACGUUUCCUCUUAAGUUUAUGAUAUGGAAGUUUCACAUCACUUCAGCUCAGAGUCCAUUAGCCAGAAUUUAGACACAUGACCAUUGCUUAUGAAAGAAUAGCUAGGAAACGUAGUUUUUAUUCUUUGAGGCCACAUGCCCUGUCAAAAACAACAUCUAUUACCAUAAAUGAAAGGAGAGAAUAACUUUUCUGGAGGACAAUUAGCCGUUUCUAUCAUGCUAAAUAAGAAAAGGACCUGAUACCCAAAGCCCUCUACAGAGUCAACACAAUCCCCAUCAAAAUACCAAUGGCAUUCUUUACAAAAACAGAAAAAGCAAACAAACCUAAAGUACGUAUGCAGCCAUAAAAGACUCCUAAUAGCCAAAGCAAUCAUAGGGGGAAAAAAAGCUAGAAGUAUCAUACGUCCUGAUUUUAAACCAUACAGCAAAGCUACAGUAAUAAAAACAGUAUGGUACUGACACAAAAAUAGACAUAUAGACCAAUGGAACAUAAUAGCAUAGAAUUAAACUUCUGUUUAUAUGGUCAACUAAUACUCUCCAAGAAAGCCAAGAACACACAAUGAUAAAUACAUGCAGAGCAAUGCAAUUGGACCCAUGCCUCACACCACUCCCAAAAAUUAACUUGAAAUGGAUCAAAGUCUUUUUUUGUUUGUUUGUUUGUUUACCUUUUCUAGGGCUGAUUCUGCAGCAUAUGGAGGUUCCCAGGCCAGGGGUUUAGUCAGAGCUGUAGCUGCCAGCCAAAAGACAAAAGCCAAAAGCCACAGCAACUCGGUAUCUGAGCACAUCUGCAACCUACACCACAGCUCACUGCAAUGCCGAAUCCUUAGCCCACUGAGAAAGGCCAGGGAUUGAACCCGAGACCUUAUGGUUCCUAGUCAGAUUUGUUAGCCCCUGAGCCACAAUAGGAACUCCUGGAUCAAAUUCCUAACGAUAAGAUGUGAUACUAUAAAACUCCUAGAAGAAAACGUAGAGAAGAAAUUCCUUAAUAUUGAUCUUAGAAAUGAUUCUCUUGGAUAUGACACCAAAAUCACAAUCACCAAAAGCAAAAAUUAACAAAUUGGCUCUGAAAUAAACUUAAAAGCUUUUGCACAGCAAAAGAAACAGUUAACAAAAUGAAAAGGCAACCUACAGAAUGAGGGAAAUUUUUACAAACCAUAUACCUGUUAGGAAGUUAAUAUCCAAAAUAUAUAAAGAACUCAUACAAUUCAAUAACAAAAAGACAAACAAUUAAUUAAAAAAUGGAGAGAAGAUCUAAAUAGACAUUUUCCCAAAAAAGUCGUCCAAAUGGCCAUCAGAUACAUGAAGAGGUGCUCAACAUCACUAAUUAUUAGGGAAAUGCAAAAUUAAAACCUCAGAUUUUUAUCUCACAUACAUUUGAAUGGUUAUCAUCGAGAAUAAGAAAUGGGAGUUCCUCUUGUGGCUCAGUGGGUUAAGAACCCGACUAGUAUCACUGAGGAUCCAGGUUCGAUCCCUGGCCUCCCUCAGUGCCUUAAACUAUCUGGCAUUGUUGCAAGCUGUGGUGUAGGUCGUAGAUGUGGCUGGGAUCAGGCAUUGCUGUGGCUAUGACAUAGGCCAGCAGCUACAGCUUCGAUUUGACCCCUAGCCUGGGAACCUCCAUAUGUUGCAGGUGCAGCCCUAAAAAAAUAAAUAAAUAAAUAAGGCAAGAGGUAACAAGUGCUGGCAGGGAUGUGGAGAAAAGGGAAAUUUGUGCAGCGUUGGUGGGAAUAUAAAGUGGUGCAGCCACUAUGGGAAAAAUUGUGGCAGUUCCUCAAAAAGCUAAAAAUAGAACUACCAGGAGUUCCUUUCCUGGCUCAGUGUAGACAAACCUGACUAGGAUUCAUGAGGAUGCAGGUUCGAUCCCUGGCCUCGAUCAGUGGGUUAAGGAUCCGGUGUUGCCAUGAGCUGUGGUGGAGGUCACAGAGGCGCUUGGAUAUCCAUAUUGCUGUGGCUGUGGUGUAGGCUGGCAGCUGCAGUUCCCAUUCGACCCCUAGCCUGGGAACUUCCAUAUGUCACAGGUUGGGCCCUAAAAAGCAAAAAAAUAAAAGUAAAUAGAUUAAAUUAAAAAAAAUUAUACGUGGAAUUUUAAAAAUUCAAACUUAGCUGUACACCUGAAACUAACACGACAUUGUAAGUCACCUAUAGAUCAAUAAAAUUUAUUUUAAAAGACUCAAUAUUUCAAGUAAAAUUAUAAAAACAUAGGGUAUUUGGUAUUCUGCAACCCAAAUAUGAGUCAGCACCAUGUGGCUUCUCAGAGAAGAAGCUAUUUUCUUGUUUCCUUAUAACAAAUAGUUCCCUGCUCCUAACAUAUUUUUUCUCAUUACUUUAAAGAUGAAUUAUUUAGGAAAUAGGUUAGAAAUCAGUACAAGUAUCUUGGAGCUAUUUUGUAGACAUAUGAAAUUAUUCUAAAGAUUAUAGAAAGUUACAGCAAAAGGAAUUCUUUGAGAUUCUCCAGAGCAGUCUUGCUGCACAUUAAAAUCAUUUAGGGAAUUUUUUAAAUAGUAAUAGCGGGGUCCCACCCCCAGAGAUUCUGAUCUUAUCGUUCCAAAAUGUUACCUGAGCACCAGGAUUUUUUUCAGACCUCUCAGAUGUUUACCACUUUAUUUAAUUUUGUAACUUUUUUCUCAAAAUUUUAUUUAAAAAAAUUUUUAAUUGCAUGGAUAAUAAAAUGAGCUGCAUAUCCUUUACCUAGAUUCACUCAUAGUUGACAUUUGGCCAUAUUGGCUUUGAAUAAUUCACUUUUAAGAUUCAUUAUAGUAACUUUUAUACAUUUUAAUACAUUUAUAACAAUAAAAAUGAGUCACUGCAAAAAAAGAAAGAAAAGCCAAACUCGUAAAAACAGAAUAAAAUGGUGGCUACCAGCAGUUGGGCAGUAGGGGGUCAAGACAGACAUUGUUUAAGAGUAUUUACUUAUACUCAGUAGCACAUAAGCCCUAGAGUUAUAAUGCAUGGUACAAUGAAUAUAGAUAGAAAUAUUAUAAUCAUCGGAGUUCCCGUCGUGGAGCAGUGGUUAACGAAUCUGACUGGGAACCAUGAGGUUGCGGGUUCCAUCCCUGGUUUUGCUCAUGGGUUAAGGAUCUGGCCCUUGCUGUGGGCUGUGGUGGAGGUUGCAGACGCAGCUCAGAUCCUGCGUUGCUGUGGCUCUGGCGUAGGCUGGCGGCUACAGCUCUGAUUAGACCCCUUAGCCUGGGAACCUCCAUAUGCCACAGAUGUGGCCCUAGAAAAAGGCAAAAAGACAACAACAACAAAAAAAGAAAAGAAAUACUAUAUUAUAUUGCUAAGAUACUAGAACUUAAUUAUUCCAACUACUGAAAAAGAAAGAGCAAUUAUGUAAUGUGAUAGAGGUGUUAAUUAUCUACAAUGGCAGUCAAAUUAUAAUAUGUAAAUAUAGCAAAUUUACUUGUUGUACACCUUAAAUUCACACAACAUGAUAUGUCAAAUAUGUUUCAAUUUAAAAAGAAAAAGAGGAGAGUUCCCAUCAUGGCUCAGUGGUAACUACCUGGACUCGUAUAUAUGAAGAUGCCGGCUCCAUCCCUGAUCUCGAUCAGUGGGUUAAGGAUCCAGAUUGCAGAUAUGCCUCAGACCCUGCGUUGCUGUGCCUGUG
rnacentral:lncRNA from 1 species